rnacentral:rRNA from 1 species
UGCGUAGGGGGCAAGCGUUGUCCGGAAUCAUUGGGCGUAAAGAGCGCGUAGGCGGUCCGGUAAGUCCGCUGUGAAAGUCAAGGGCUCAACCCUUGAAUGCCGGUGGAUACUGUCGGGCUAGAGUCCGGAAGAGGCGAGUGGAAUUCCUGGUGUAGCGGUGAAAUGCGCAGAUAUCAGGAGGAACACCAAUGGCGAAGGCAGCUCGCUGGGACGGUACUGACGCUGAGGCGCGAAAGCGUGGGGAGCAAACAGG